rnacentral:rRNA from 1 species
AUAAUCUGAAUGUCUAAUAGAAUGUAAACCCAUUUCGUUGCCUUGAAAACGUAACGAAAGAAAACUAUACAACUUUCAACAACGGAUCUCUUGGCUCUCGCAUCGAUGAAGAACGCAGCGAAAUGCGAUAAGUAAUGUGAAUUGCAGAUUUUCAGUGAAUCAUCGAAUCUUUGAACGCACCUUGCGCCCCUUGGUAUUCCGAGGGGCAUGCCUGUUUGAGUGUCAUUAAAUCCUCAACCCCUCCGAUUCGUUUCGGUGGGGAUUGUUACUUGGAGCGUGCUGGCGAAGGUCGGCUCCUCUUUAAAUGCAUCAGCGGAGAAAAUGCCUUUUGCGCCUCUGGCCGUUCAGCGUGAUAAUGAUGUUGCGCUGCGGUCGAGCUUAAGGUCCGCUUCCAAAGGUCCUCGGACAAAUAUACAUAUGACUUUUGACCUCAAAUCAGGUAGGACUACCCGCUGAACUUUAAGCAUAUCAAUAAGCCGGAGGAAUAUG